UUCAGACAAAUUCGUCAAGUUACAAAGACAUAAAAAGCGACGAGAGACCAAAAUUGUGGUCCGAAAAAUAAACAACGAAUAUCAUAAGAAAACAAGAGAUAAACAAGAUUUUCAAUCAGAUUCCGACUAAAUAUCGCUGUUAGAUUUCAGUAACAAUCUUCAUUUCUCUCGGAUAUGAGAGAUUACCGAGAAAAUAUGCCAAAACAAAAUUGAUAAUCAUCAAAAAAUAUUUUUGAUCAAAUUUGAAAAGUAAUAAAAAUUGGGCAGGGGAAGAAAGAGAUUUGUCACUGCUCACGAGAAAAUGUCUUCAUAUGGUUUUUCUGAUAAAAACUUUGAUAGUUGUGGGAUAGUUGAGCCGUUGCUGCUCGGGUGGGAGAAUAAGACACCUGAAAUGUUAAGGUUCUCCAUCUGUUUUCAACAAACUCGGGUUAUAGUAAAAGUUGAAGCAAAUCAAAUAAUAUGACUAAUAUAUUAAAGGUAGUGGUGCGGGUUCUCGGAUAUUUCGAGUAUUA
rnacentral:lncRNA from 1 species